rnacentral:rRNA from 1 species
AUGCGGACAAAUGGAAACAACAAGUGCAGUACAAAUUUUUCGGUGAUGUCGUCACAUUCAACACAAUUUCAAGCGAGAGCCAUGGAAGUUGCAAUCAAGACGGAGUUGCCCGAGACUAUCCACAGGUGGUGCAAAUGUCAUGUUCUUAAGAAAGCAAUGGAACACCUGGGUCCGUUAUACACCAGCAAGAGGGAGUUCAGGUCUGAAUUCCACAAAGUAGUGAAUCACAUGCCAAGUGUGGAGGAAUUUGAGACUGCAUGGGGCAUGCUGAUUGGCAAGUACAAUUUUGAAGUCCCACCAUUACAUGACACAACUUUAUGA